AUUGAACGCUGGCGGCAUGCCUUACACAUGCAAGUCGAACGGCAGCACGGGUGCUUGCACCUGGUGGCGAGUGGCGAACGGGUGAGUAAUACAUCGGAACAUGUCCUGUAGUGGGGGAUAGCCCGGCGAAAGCCGGAUUAAUACCGCAUACGAUCUACGGCUGAAAGCGGGGGACCUUCGGGCCUCGCGCUAUAGGGUUGGCCGAUGGCUGAUUAGCUAGUUGGUGGGGUAAAGGCCUACCAAGGCGACGAUCAGUAGCUGGUCUGAGAGGACGACCAGCCACACUGGGACUGAGACACGGCCCAGACUCCUACGGGAGGCCGCAGUGGGGAAUUUUGGACAAUGGGCGAAAGCCUGAUCCAGCAAUGCCGCGUGUGUGAAGAAGGCCUUCGGGUUGUAAAGCACUUUUGUCCGGAAAGAAAUCCUUGGCCCUAAUACGGUCGGGGGAUGACGGUACCGGAAGAAUAAGCACCGGCUAACUACGUG
rnacentral:rRNA from 1 species